UUAAAUAUUGACUCAACAAAUUGCUUUCAAAUAAUUAUCCCCAAACAAAAAGAUGCAUUGGGGUAAUUUUAGCUUAUGGUCCAAAGGUAAAAUUAAAAAUAUAUAUUCUCUGAACAUAUUAAAUUGUGUUCAGCCAAUUAAUCAAGUAAAAGUGAAAUAUCUGUGUUUGCUGAACAAGCCUUGCGGAGAAAAAAACGCACCUGAGAGAAACCGUUGGUAAUGGUAUAACUUAGUGGAUUCAAAUAUAUCUGCGCGGGAGAGAUGAGGAGACUGAGGAGUCGAUGCUGAAGUACGACGACAGAAGUUCAGACAUCAUUUCCAAACAGAUUUUUCUUCAUUUAAGUUAUGCCAAACAUCCUAGGUCUGACUCAACGGAACGACUAAUGUUACGACUUUCACAGUUUAAAGGAAGUCCAUGCAGUGCUGCUUCUGCAAGUUUUCAUCACCUCACCAAGACCUAAUUUUCAAGCACUACAGAACUUGCAAUUGGUCAGUUAAUGCAACUUCCUUUCCAUGUUUACACCUAGAAUGUGUUUGCAUUUUCAAGACAAUUGGAGAUUUAAAAACAUUUGUGGAGGGUACAUCCAAAGACUGGCAACAAGGGGAAUACCACAUUUUCUUGUGAUUUUAGGGAAAUCUGCUCUCAAUCAACAUUUCUUCACCAUUUAAGAGGACAUCUUAAAAACCACAAGAGGGUUCAUUGUCCAUUUUGAAAUUGUAAUUUUGUAGCAACAGUUACCGUACAUUCACAGCUCAUAAGAACAGGAAGCACAAAUCCCAUGGAUUAAAUGAAUUAAACAUUAAAUGGAUUAAAUUCUGGACAUCAAUGAUGCGAGUCCAUCUUCUUCCUUAGGAUGUGCAUAAAUAAAAUAUGUUAUAUUGUUAGUGCAGUUUCAUAAAUGUAGUACCUAAAUACCAAAAUGUCAGUGAAAUUUCUCUAAACACUGAUAAUACAUGUUUUUAAAAUAAUUGUGUAAAAAAUAAAGUGGUUUUGUUAAUGUAAGAUCUAAGGUCUAAUGAGUUUUGUGUAUCUUGGAAUCCUGAAUUGAAAUGCAUGAUUUUUAUCUACUAAGGUCUACUGUGCAGAAAUGUUCAAUGUAUUUACCAUUUAAGGUAUUUUCACAAUACUGUUGUAGAUUUGAUCAAAUGUAUUAAAUAAAAUGUGGCAGUAUGGCUUGAGUGUUUAAUGUAUAUAUAUUUUUUUCUUUUGGGGCAACGGGGAAUAAACAAUACAGUGAAGUUGCUUUACUAAUAUAAAUUUACCAAAAUAUAUUUUUAGUUUAGGUAAAACUAAAAAGGAAUGCUACUACAAUUUAAAAUGUUUAAUUGGGCCAAUAACAUGGGUUGGUAACCUAAUUUCGUUUCAAUUGUUUUAACGAAUUAUUUCUAAUUUAGCCAAUGUUAACAGACUAUUGCUACAAUUGAUAAAAUUACAUUUACAGAAUUUCACUUGGGCCAAUUGAAAAUUUUAGAUGUGACCAGUCACUAGAAAAUUUUGAGUUGGGAAGAUUAUAAUUUUUUU